AGGUUAAGUUACAAAGAGCGCAGGGUGGAUGCCUUGGCACUGAGAGCCGAUGAAAGACGUGAUAAGCUGCGAUAAGCUGCGGCAAGGAGCAAAUAUCCGAUGAACCGCAGAUUUCUGAAUGGGGAAACCUGGCUGAGCAAACCUCAGUCGUCAUAUACUGAAUACAUAGGUAUAUGUCGGGAACCUCCUGAACUGAAACAUCUAAGUAGGGAGAGGAAGAGAAAGAAACAUCGAUUCCGUAAGUAGCGGCGAGCGAACGCGGAAGAGCCCAAACCGGAGUGCGUGCAUUCCGGGGUAUGGACUGCGAUAUGGCAGUGUGAAUGGUAGUAGAAGGGUCUGGGAAGUCCCGCCAUAGAGAGUGAAAGCCUCGUACACGAAUCAUGAACACGCCUAGCAGUAUCCGGAGUACCACGAGACACGAGAAACCUUGUGGGAAGGCGGAGGGACCACCCUCCAAGGCUAAAUACUACUCAGUGACCGAUAGAGCAUAGUACUGUGAAGGAAAGGUGAAAAGAACCCCGGGAGGGGAGUGAAAGAGAACCUGAAACCCUGUGUUUACAAGCUGCGGAACUACAUUUUAGGUAGAACCGCGUACUUUUUGUAGAACGGUCCGGCGAGUUUCUUUUACUGGCAAGGUUAAGUACUUAAGGUACGGAGCCGAAGUGAAAGCAAGUGUUAACAGCACGUCUAGUCAGUAGAAGAAGACCCGAAACCGGGUGAUCUACCCAUGUCCAGGUUGAAGUUGCCGUAAAAGGCAAUGGAGGACCGAACGCACAUCCGUUGAAAAGGGUGGCGAUGAGGUGUGGGUAGGGGAGAAAUUCCAAUCGAACCCGGAGAUAGCUGGUUCUCCUCGAAAUAGCUUUAGGGCUAGCCUCGUAUUAGUCUUGCGGAGGUAGAGCACUGAAUAUCCUAGGGGGCGUCAAAGCUUACCGAAGAUUAUCAAACUCCGAAUGCCGCGUAGAUGAUGUACGGGAGUCAGACUGCACGAGAUAAGUUGGGUAGUCAAAAGGGAAAGAGCCCAGACCAUCAGCUAAGGUCCCAAAGUGUGUGUUAAGUGGUAAAGGAUGUGGGAUUUCGAAGACAACUAGGAUGUUGGCUCAGAAGCAGCCAUACAUUCAAAGAGUGCGUAAUAGCUCACUAGUCGAGAGGUCCUGCGCCGAAAAUGUCCGGGGCUAAAACACACCACCGAAGCUAUGGAAUGUAUUAAAUACAUUGGUAGAGGAGCAUUGUUACAGAGACGAAGCUGUACUGAAAAGAGCAGUGGAUCNNNNNNNNNNAAUACAUUGGUAGAGGAGCAUUGUUACAGAGACGAAGCUGUACUGAAAAGAGCAGUGGAUCUGUAAGAAGAGAGAAUGCCGGAAUGAGUAGCGAGAUUUAAGUGAGAAUCUUAAAGGCCGAAUAUCUAAGGUUUCCAGGGUAAAGCUGAUCUUCCCUGGGUAAGUCGGGGCCUAAGGCGAGGACGAAAGUCGUAGUCGAUGGAUAACAGGUUGAAAUUCCUGUACCGCAUAUAAACAGAACUGUGGGGACGCAGAGAGAAAGCCAGAGCCGGAAAUGGAAAAGCCGGUACAAGCGAGGUAUCCGAGUGACAGGCAAAUCCGUCACUUAAGGAGAAUACGUGAUGUGGAUCGAACUAGAGUAGAGAAGCUGGUGAGCUAGCUGCCAAGAAAAGCCGCUAUUGUUUUAUAUGUGCCCGUACCGUAAACCGACACAGGUGGAUGAGGAGAGAAUCCUAAGGCCGGCGGGAGAAGUGUUGUUAAGGAACUCGGCAAAAUGACUCCGUAACUUCGGGAGAAGGAGUGCCACAGAGAUGUGGCCGCAGAGAAAUGGCCCAAGCAACUGUUUAGCAAAAACACAGGUCUAUGCAAAACCGAAAGGUGAGGUAUAUGGGCUGACGCCUGCCCGGUGCUGGAAGGUUAAGAGGAGAGCUUAGCGCAAGCGAAGGUUUGAAUUUAAGCCCCAGUAAACGGCGGCCGUAACUAUAACGGUCCUAAGGUAGCGAAAUUCCUUGUCGGGUAAGUUCCGACCCGCACGAAAGGCGUAAUGAUUUGGGCACUGUCUCAACAACACACCCGGUGAAAUUGAAAUACCAGUGAAGAUGCUGGUUACCUGCGCCAGGACGGAAAGACCCCAUGGAGCUUUACUCCAGUUUGAUACUGGGAUUCGGUACUGUCUGUACAGGAUAGGUGGGAAGCUAGGAAAUGAUGACGCCAGUUGUCAUGGAGCUGACCUUGGGAUACCACCCUUACAGUACUGGGUUUCUAACCUGCGGCCGUAAACCGGCCGGGGGACAAUGUCUGACGGGGAGUUUGACUGGGGCGGUCGCCUCCGAAAGAGUAUCGGAGGCGCUCAAAGGUUCCCUCAGAACGGUUGGAAACCGUUCGAAGAGUGCAAAGGCAGAAGGGAGCUUGACUGCGACACCGACGGGUGGAGCAGGUACGAAAGUAGGACUUAGUGAUCCGGUGGUAUAAAGUGGGAUUGCCAUCGCUCAACGGAUAAAAGCUACCCUGGGGAUAACAGGCUUAUCACUCCCAAGAGUUCACAUCGACGGAGUGGUUUGGCACCUCGAUGUCGGCUCAUCGCAUCCUGGAGCUGUAGCAGGUUCCAAGGGUUGGGCUGUUCGCCCAUUAAAGCGGUACGCGAGCUGGGUUCAGAACGUCGUGAGACAGUUCGGUCCCUAUCCGGCGUGGGCGUAGGAUAUUUGAGAGGAGCUGUCCUUAGUACGAGAGGACCGGGAUGGACGAACCGCUGGUGUAUCUGUUGUUGUACCAACAGCAUGGCAGAGUAGCCAAGUUCGGCAGGGAUAAACGCUGAAGGCAUCUAAGCGUGAAGCCCCCCUCAAGAUUAGAUAUCCCUUCUUCGGAAUAAGACCCCUUGAAGACUACAAGGUUGAUAGGCUUCGGGUGUAAGUGCGGUAACGCACUCAGCUGAGAAGUACUAAUAGGUCGAAGACUUAUCCUUAG
rnacentral:rRNA from 1 species